UACGGAGGGGGCUAGCGUUGUUCGGAAUUACUGGGCGUAAAGCGCACGUAGGCGGCUUUGUAAGUUAGAGGUGAAAGCCCGGGGCUCAACUCCGGAACUGCCUUUAAGACUGCAUCGCUUGAAUCAUGGAGAGGUCAGUGCAAUUCCGAGUGUAGAGGUGAAAUUCGUAGAUAUUCGGAAGAACACCAGUGGCGAAGGCGACAUACUGGCUCAUUACUGACGCUGAGGCUCGAAAGCGUGGGGAGCAAACAGG
rnacentral:rRNA from 1 species